rnacentral:misc_RNA from 1 species
ACCAGCGGGAACGUGAUUGAGUGCGAUGCCGGUACUAGACAGAGCCUGCUGGACAGCUGAGUUAAUCCGAUUGGUAUCCCCAUAGGCAGAAAUAGAAACCGGCCCACAAUAAUUCAUCUUCGCCAAAGCAGAGCUUAUGUUCUGAGCUAUGGCAUGUGGGUCGCAUUCUCUGGGUACCUGGCAAUUCUCUAUAUCCCACCACACCGAGGUCUU